rnacentral:tRNA from 1 species
ACCGAAUUGGUGUAAUGGCAGCACGCCUGACUUUGACUCGGGAGAUCGCGGUUUAAAUCCUUGAUUCGGUGCCA